ensembl:lncRNA
CAGGGGAAGAGGGAUUGAAGGACGCCUGAACAGAACCCAAAAAGGAAAAAAUGCCACGUAGAGGAGGGAGGGGAGAACGUAACUCCCAUUGCCUAAAACCCGCCUCUGGCCACAGGCACGGACGGGGUUCGAACCCGCGAUCUUCGGUUUACGAGACCGACGCCUUACCACUUGGCCACCGCGCCUGACAGCCGAGCGAGUGGCGGAAGCUCUCAGUGGAGGGGGACGUGGCGCAGGCGCAGGCGCAGGCGCGGGGCGGCGGGCGGACACUCUCCGACACGCCGUCUCCUGGGCCGGCGCCAUGGGAGCCGAAAGCUGGGGAGAAGCCCUGCGCCCCAUGGGCGCCAAACCCGUGCUCCGGGCCGCGGGGGGCGCAAGUUGGGGGUCUGAGAGGCAAAACCCUCUCCUAGCACCCCGCCCGGGCCUCGGGCAGGGUGAACGCUGCCCACGUCCCCUGAGACGCGGGAACCUCGCCCCAAGCGCCGCUGCGGGCUCCCGCGGAGGGUCGCGAUAGGGCGAAGCGGGGGAAGGGCGCCGAGCCACGAGGCUGAGGGCCAGGGCUGGUGAGAAGCUCGGAGAUGCGCCGAAGCGGGCUGACGCAGGCGGAGCACCGGCCGGGAGAGGUGCGGGGAGAGGCCGCGUGGGACUGGGUACGAAGGUUCUGCUGUGACCCUGAAACUCUGACACAGUAAGAAAGAGAUGAACUAGCAAGUCAUGAAAACACACAGAAGAACCUUAAGUCUGUAUCAUGAAGUGAAAGGAACUUCGAGGCUCGUGUGUUGGAAGCUUUAGACCCAUGUGGGCUUUCAGGAGAGGGGCCUAGGAGCUGCCGCCCACAGUGGGUUAGUGCUGCUGUCCUGGAGCAGGGUCCUUGCCAGGUGAUCCAUUUAGCUCCCACUCGCCUUCUCUGCUCAUCUACCACGAGAUGCCAUAGAGCAGCAAGAAGGCCCUUGCCAGAUGCCAACCCUUCUAGCUGCUUCCUAGCCACUAGAAGUACAAGACUGUAAACUUCUGUGUAUCAUAAAUUCCUUCGUCUGAUACCUGUAAUCCCUUGGGAGGCUGAGGCAGGCAGAUCGACACAAGUUUGAGGCCAACCUGGACUACAUAGUGAAUUCAAGGCCAGCCCAAAUGACAUAGUGAGAUCUUGUCUCAAAAAAAUAAAAUAAAUUAUGGCAGCGUGACACAGACUAAGACAGAUGCCAAUCUGAAAAGGUUACAGACUACAUAAUUCUGUGAUGUUCUGGAAAAGGCAAAACUAUGGAGACAAUCGAAAGAUCAGUGGUUUCCAGGAGUUGAGCAGAGGGCAGGAUGAACUGUAGAGCAGAGACAAUUUUUAGGAAGGUGAAACUAUUCUGGCUGCUGCUGUCAUGGAAGAUACACGUUGUUACACGUGUGUGGAAAUCCAUGGGACACGCGUCACUGGCAGGGGGCCCUUAGGGUAACAAGGUGCUAGUGUAGGUUCAGCAGUGGUAACGAAUGUACCCUGGUGGGUCAGGAUGGGGAGGGAUGGGGCACGGACAUAUGGGAACUGCUUUCUGCUCAGUUUUGCUGUGAAC